AGAAUCAACGCUGGCGGCGUGCCUAACACAUGCAAGUCGCACGAGAAAGGGGCUUCGGCCCUGAGUAAAGUGGCGCACGGGUGAGUAACACGUGAAUCAUCUACCUUCGAGUGGGGAAUAACUGAGAGAAAUCUUAGCUAAUACCGCAUAAUACCUACGGGUCAAAGCAGCAAUGCGCUUGAAGAGGAGUUCGCGGCAGAUUAGUUAGUUGGCGGGGUAAUGGCCCACCAAGACGAUGAUCUGUAUCCGGCCUGAGAGGGCGCACGGACACACUGGAACUGAAACACGGUCCAGACUCCUACGGGAGGCAGCAGUGGGGAAUUUUGCGCAAUGGGGGAAACCCUGACGCAGCAACGCCGCGUGGAGGAUGAAAUCCCUUGGGAUGUAAACUCCUUUCGAUCGGGAAGAUAAUGACGGUACCGAGAGAAGAAGCCCCGGCUAACUUCGUGCCAGCAGCCGC
rnacentral:rRNA from 1 species